GAUGAACGCUAGCGGCGGGCUUAAUACAUGCAAGUCAAGGGGUAGCAAUACACCGGCGUACGGGUGCGUAACGCGUAUGGAACCUGCCCUUAUCUGGGGGAUAACUCGGGGAAACUCGAGCUAAUACCGCAUAAGAUAGUAGAAUGGCAUCAUUCAGCUAUUAAAGAUUUAUCGGAUAAGGAUGGCCAUGCGUAAGAUUAGAUAGUUGGUGGGGUAACGGCUCACCAAGUCUACGAUCUUUAGGGGCUCUGAGAGGAGAAUCCCCCACACUGGCACUGAGAUACGGGCCAGACUCCUCCGGGAGGCAGCAGUAGGGAAUAUUGGGCAAUGGGCGGAAGCCUGACCCAGCCACGCCGCGUGCAGGAAGAAGGCCCUCUGGGUUGUAAACUGCUUUUGAUUGGGAAGAAAGCAUCUCAUGCGUGGGAUUUUGACGGUACCAAUCGAAUAAGCCACGGCUAACUACGUGCCAGCCGCCGCAGUAAGAC
rnacentral:rRNA from 1 species